rnacentral:rRNA from 1 species
UACGUAGGGUGCAAGCGUUGUCCGGAAUUAUUGGGCGUAAAGAGCUCGUAGGCGGUUUGUCGCGUCUGCUGUGAAAACUCAGGGCUUAACCCUGAGCUUGCAGUGGGUACGGGCAGACUAGAGUGCGGUAGGGGAGACUGGAAUUCCUGGUGUAGCGGUGAAAUGCGCAGAUAUCAGGAGGAACACCGGUGGCGAAGGCGGGUCUCUGGGCCGUAACUGACGCUGGAGG